CGCGGGGCGACGGCGACGCUGCGUGCCGGGGCCAUCUGCCGCGGGCGGGCAUCUCGCGACCCCACGGGAAGGGCUCGGGCACCCCGAGGAGAGGCCCACGUUUCCCCAGAAAAGGGCUCGGCGACCUCCCAAGGAGGACUGCCCUCGAAAUGGGAAGUAGGAUCCGCAGACUCUGUGUCCACCGCCCCCCCCCCCCAAAAAAAAAGGGCCCUGGACAGCACGUAUAAAACGGAGCCGCGAAACCUGAGGCACAGGCUUUGGCAGCUGUCCCCGUGGAGACCGGGGAGUGACCGCCUCCCCGCCUCUCCCCGCCACUCUGCUUUUCGUCCGAAUUGGUUCCCAGCCGUUCAGACACUUCCCAUGUCUUUCCCUUUUUGUUCCUGCUCGAGUAAUUACAAAUACCUUGUCCAAAGCCUGUGUUUUUCCCUCUAAGAAGUUUAAUGGGAAAAGAUCUCAAGCAGUUCGAUUUUAUGUCCAACCCCUACCCUCAUAGAUUCAAGUGGUGUCCAAGCCCUAAUUUCACUCCAGGGGCAUAGAGUGGGGAUCAGAGAAGCUUAAAUACAUUUAGAAUGAAAAAUUAAAUGUGGGGGAGGUGAAGAUGAGAGAUGGGACUGAAGAUCGAUUUUCUUUUUAGUAAUAUAUAUAUAUUUUUUAAUGUGGUGCUAAGGAUGGAACCCAGUGCCUCACACGUGUCAGGCAAGUGCUCUACCACCGAGCCACAACCCCAGCCCCUGAAGAUCG
rnacentral:lncRNA from 1 species